rnacentral:rRNA from 1 species
UACGGAAGGCAGCAGUGGGGAAUAUUGCACAAUGGGCGCAAGCCUGAUGCAGCCAUGCCGCGUGUAUGAAGAAGGCCUUCGGGUUGUAAAGUACUUUCAGUCGUGAGGAAGGUGUUAAGGUUAAUAACCUUAGCAAUUGACGUUAGCGACAGAAGAAGCACCGGCUAACUCCGUGCCAGCAGCCGCGGUAAUACGGAGGGUGCGAGCGUUAAUCGGAAUUACUGGGCGUAAAGGGCACGCAGGCGGUUAAUUAAGUUGGAUGUGAAAUCCCCGGGCUUAACCUGGGAAUGGCAUUCAAGACUGGUUAGCUAGAGUCUUGUAGAGGGGGUAGAAUUCCAUGUGUAGCGGUGAAAUGCGUAGAGAUGUGGAGGAAUACCGGUGGCGAAGGCGGCCCCGUGGACAAAGACUGACGCUCAUGUGCGAAAGCGUGGGGAGCGAAACAGGGAUUAGAU